GCUGGCGGCGUGCUUAGACAUGCAAGUCGUACGAGAAAGCCUCUUCGGAGGUUAGUAAAGUGGCGCACGGGUGAGUAACGCGUGGGUAAUCUGCCCUUUGGUUUGGGAUAACCCCGGGAAACCGGAGCUAAUACCGAAUAAGACCACGAUGACUUCGGUCGAUGUGGGAAAAGGUGGCCUCUUCUUGAAAGCUACCACCAAUGGAUGAGCCCGCGUUUGAUUAGUUUGUUGGUGAGGUAACGGCUCACCAAGACUACGAUCAAUAGCUGGUCUGAGAGGAUGAUCAGCCACACUGGAACUGAGACACGGUCCAGACUCCUACGGGAGGCAGCAGUCGGGAAUAUUGGGCAAUGGGCGAAAGCCUGACCCAGCAACGCCGCGUGAAGGAUGAAGGCCCUAGGGUCGUAAACUUCUGUCGAGAGGGAAGAAUGCGUGUGGGUAGAUAAUCCACAUGUUUGACGGUACCUCCAAAGGAAGCACCGGCUAACUCCGUGCCAGCAGCCGCGGUAAUACGGAGGGUGCAAGCGUUGUUCGGAUUUAUUGGGCGUAAAGCGAGUGUAGGCGGUUUAGAAAGUCGGAUGUGAAAUCCCAGGGCCCAACCCUGGAACUGCAUCCGAUACUACUAGGCUAGAAUCCCGGAGAGGGUGGCGGAAUUCCCGGUGUAGGGGUGAAAUCCGUAGAUAUCGGGAGGA
rnacentral:rRNA from 1 species